CCUACGGGAGGCUGCAGUCGAGAAUCAUUCACAAUGGGGGAAACCCUGAUGGUGCGACGCCGCGUGGGGGAAUGAAGGUCUUCGGAUUGUAAACCCCUGUCAUGUGGGAGCAAAUUAAAAAGAUAGUACCACAAGAGGAAGAGACGGCUAACUCUGUGCCAGCAGCCGCGGUAAUACAGAGGUCUCAAGCGUUGUUCGGAAUCACUGGGCGUAAGGCGUGCGUAGGCUGUUUUGUAAGUCGUGUGUGAAAGGCGCGGGCUCAACCCGCGGACGGCACAUGAUACUGCGAGACUAGAGUAAUGGAGGGGGAACCGGAAUGCUCGGUGUAGCAGUGAAAUGCGUAGAUAUCGAGAGGAACACUCGUGGCGAAGGCGGGUUCCUGGACAUUAACUGACGCUGAGGCACGAAGGCCAGGGGAGCGAAAGGGAUUAGAUACCCUUGUAGUC
rnacentral:rRNA from 1 species